rnacentral:lncRNA from 1 species
GAUUUGUGAAGUGCGUGCGCCUAUAUGCUCCAUUAGUUCUUGAUAGUGGUUAAUUUUCCUUAAUUUGGUUUGUCGUUGUGGAACAUAAAUUUGUUAUUGUUUUCAUUGACAUCUCCACUCUCCAGAUAGAAAAAAGAAAAAAAUUCACAAAAUCACAGUUCUUGAGACAGUUAUCUCGACGAAACGCAGUUAACGGAAAGCCAUCUGCAUAACCACAUUAUUUAAGUCAAAUUGUUUCGAGUAGCCCGAAACCAGACGGUUUUGUGGUUUCAUUUGAAUUCUAACAGGUGAGAUCCACCUGUCACAAAAUCACGGAUCGCAUUCAUGGGCGCAUCUGGUGCCACCGAAUAUAUUGUUGUGCGUAUCGUUUUAACCAAAUCGCAAGUCAAGACUCUUUCGUAGUUUCAUGGAACCUUCAUCAACCUUAUAUGCUUCACUACUCAAAAGAAAGUCGAGCGCACGAAGC